rnacentral:misc_RNA from 1 species
GAAAUGCGAUAAUUAAUGUGAAUUGCAGAAUUCAGUGAAUCAUCGAGUCUUUGAACGCACAUUGCGCCCCCUGGUAUUCCGGGGGGCAUGCCUGUCCGAGCGUCAUUGCUGCCCUCAAGCACGGCUUGUGUGUUGGGCUUCCGUCCCAGGCAACGGGGACGGGCCCAAAAGGCAGUGGCGGCACCAUGUCUGGUCCUCGAGCGUAUGGGGCUUUGUCACCCGCUCCCGUAGGUCCAGCUGGCAGCUAGCCUCGCAACCAAUCUUUUUAACCAGGUUGACCUCGGAGCAGGUAGGGAUACCCGCUGAACUUAAGC